CCUGAAGAGGGGAACAGGGAUAAGGGGAGGUGAACGGUCUCGGGCCCGAGCCCUCCUCCUUGCUUUGGGGUUCCGUGUCAACUCUGCCUGUGGGUCUUUGGCCUGUUUCCCUCCAGGCCCUCUGUCAGUUCCCAGGUCUGUCCAGCGGUCCCUCCGACAGCUUAGAGUCCAGCGACUUUGAGCAAAGUUGGGAAUCGCGGCAGGAAGGAAAGGCCGGAGCGGAUUCUGGGAAGGAGCGCAACACCGGGCGGAGAGCGCCCCCACCCCAACCCUACCCCUUCCCUCCGGAAACUGCCUUCGCCCCAGGAACCAGAGACAGACCACUUCACCCACAAAUCUUUAUUGUGCCCCCAAGCCCACACCUAUACGAGGGCCAGGGGAAGGUAAGGGGUUUGGUGCUUUAAACUAUCCUUGGAAGAGGGCUCACGAAGUUGGGGGCAUGGCAGGAGCAAAUGAGAGAUCUUCGGGAUCUCCAACUCUGGACCAAGGAGACCGUAGCCUUUUCCCCUCAGCGUCAUGGGCGCCGUGGAAAUUACCAUCAACUCAGCCGUUUGAUCCCAGGGCUCCAGCAUCAACAGAGAGGCUGGAGGGCACAAGCAGGAGCAACACAUGCCCCUAUUCAGGGCUGUGGGGGGCUCUCGGGUAGUCCUAGGGACUGGACAGAAUGGGGCUGGGGGAGAGAUGGGGAAAGUGCACACCCAGCCCGAAGCACAGCUCCAGGGGGGUCACUGCCUCCCCCACUAGUCACUACGCUGUGUUCCUGCCCAAGGCAGCACCCACACUUGCAUUUGGCUGAGAGCCUCUCCCUUCCUGCUUUCUCUGGUGUUGUGAGAAGUCAGGGACCCUGACUGGAGGGACCGGCUGGAGCCGAGGCAGAAGAACAUAAAUUGUGAAGAUUUCAUGGACAUUUAUCAGUUCCCCAAAUUAAUACUUUUAUAAUUUCUUAUGCCUGUCUUUAUUGCAAUCUCUGAACAUAAAUUGUGAAGAUUUCAUGGACAUUUAUUAUUUCCCCAAUAAUACUCUUAUAAUUUCUUAUGCCUGUCUUUAAUCUCUUAAUCCUGUUAUCUUCAUAAGCCGAGAAUAUACAUCACCUCAGGACCACUAUUGUACAAAUUGAUUGUAGAACUUGUGUGUUUGAACAAUAUGAAAUCUGAUUGUAAAAUAUGUGUGUUCGAACAAUAUGAAAUCAGUGCACCCUGAAAAAGAACAGAAUAUCAGCAAUUUUCAGGGAACAAGGGAAGAUAACCAUAAGGUCUGACUGCCUGCAGGGUCGGGCAGAAUAGAGCCAUAUUUUUCUUCUUUCAGGGAGCCUAUAAAUGGAUGUGCGAGUAGGAGAAAUAUCGCUGAAUUAUUUUCCCAGCAAGGAAUAUUAAUAAUUGAUACCCUAGGGAAGGAAUGCAUUCCUGGGGGAAGGUCUAUAGACGGCCACUCUGGGAGUUUGUGUCUUAUGUGGUUGAGAUAAGGACUGAAAUAUGCCCUGGUCUCCUGCAGUACCCUCAGGCUUACUAGGAUUGGGAAAUUCCAGCCUGGUAAAUUCUAGUCAGACCGGUUGUCUGCUCUCAAACCUUGUUUCCUGUUAAGAUGUUUAUCAAGACAAUCUGUGUACAAUGGGACAUAGACCCUCAUCAGUAAUUCUAAUUUUGCCUUUGCCUUGUGAUCUUUAUUGUUCUUUGAAGUAUGUGAUCCUUGUGACCUACUCCCUGUUUGUACACCCCCUCCCCUUUUAAAAUCCCUAAUAAAAACUUGCUGGUUUUGUGGCUUGGGGUCACCA